ensembl:lncRNA
UCUUCCUCCUACUCCUCUUGCUCUCUGUUCAUUGUUAGCAUCCAUUGUUCAAAACAGGUCAUCUGACCUUUGACCUAUUUAUAGGCCUAUCUAUACUACUGUAAAGUAAAGCAGUGAUUGGUUAGUGAUCAGUUAAGCAAUUAGUGUUUGCACAUGUGAGGAGUGUGUCUGUGUGACCUGGUGAAUAAGUGUAGCAUUUUGAUUGGUUGUGUUUGGAAAAGGAAAGCAAGUCACUUCCUGAUAGAUCUUUGUGUUUUAGGUAGAGAAUUGUGUGUAGUGUUUUGAAAAAAAGUGUUUUAUGCAAUUGAAAACUGAGUCAAAGGCUGAGAAAUAGCUUAUGGUUUUGAAGAUUUGGCAUGUAGUUUUGCACUUUGAGUGAGAGGUUUCAAAAAUCGUGUGACAUGAAAAGAUUUUGUGUGUAAGCAGUUGGUAAAAACUGUAUUAUAUCUGCAUGCAAAAAUAUGCAAAGGUUUAACCUUUGGCCAACACAGACUUUGCAUGAAAAAUAAUAAAUUCUAAAUGAAUUCAUGUCUUUAACUUGCAGGUGAGACCUUCAUCAUUUCUGAAUAUGUACAGCACAGGAAAUGAGACCGUGACAGAUGUGUGAAAAACCCCUCGCUGUCUGAUAUGUAAACAGAUUCAGGUUUUGAUAGGAACAACAAUACUGAAGGAAGCCGCAGAUCUCUGAGCAGCUCCGAGACAGAGAUAUGCUUUUCCAUGAUGUCAUAUUUGCUGCUGUCUUCUUUGCUUUUUACUCCUCAGGAAAGGCUCACACUCAAAACUGGGUAAAGCAGUGGCCAGGUGAAGUGUACAGCACACCCGGAGAAAACAUCACCAUACACUGCCAGACUCAAGGAGACAUUCAGGAAGCUAAGUGUUUAGUAAACUGGUACAUCAAGAACAGACAUGGGAAAUAUGUCAGCAUCAACAAACUCACUCAGUUUAGCGGGAGACAUUCUGAAGACAAAAAAGAAAGCCACUGGCGCCAGAGCUUUACCCUGACGUCCCUAGAGCUCAAUGACACUGGCAGAUUCUACUGUAAUUACUUGUGCAGAAUUAAUGGCACACAUGAGCAGUACUAUGGGACUGGGACUCGACUUUUUGUACAUUUUAGGACUGAGAAUGUGACUAAGGGCAGCCCACUGUGUACCUUCAAUAAGACAGGUGAAGUGGAGGGUGAAUCCAGAGUAUACUUGUUUUUCCUAUUUCUUGUUUUAAUUGUUUUAUUGUCUAAAGUUGUUGUAUUUAUAUUUAUGACUUUGGUUGCACUUUUUUCUCCUCAUUAAAUCUAACUCCUGUUUCCUUUAUGCAAGACAAGUUUAUUUAUAUAGCACAUAUGAUAAAAACAAUGAUGAUCCAAAGUGCUUAAAUUGACAAUUCAUGAAG